rnacentral:rRNA from 1 species
UAUCUGCCCAUCAGACGGGGACAACGAUUGGAAACGAUCGCUAAUACCGGAUAGGACGAAAGUUUAAAGGUGCUUCGGCACCACUGAUGGAUGAGCCUGCGGCGCAUUAGCUAGUUGGUAGGGUAAAGGCCUACCAAGGCGACGAUGCGUAGCCGACCUGAGAGGGUGAACGGCCACACUGGGACUGAGACACGGCCCAGACUCCUACGGGAGGCAGCAGUAGGGAAUCUUCGGCAAUGGGCGAAAGCCUGACCGAGCAACGCCGCGUGAAUGAUGAAGGCCUUCGGGUUGUAAAAUUCUGUUAUAAGGGAAGAAUGGCUCUAGUAGGAAAUGGCUAGAGUGUGACGGUACCUUAUGAGAAAGCCACGGCUAACUACGUGCCAGCAGCCGCGGUAAUACGUAGGUGGCGAGCGUUAUCCGGAAUUAUUGGGCGUAAAGAGCGCGCAGGUGGUUGAUUAAGUCUGAUGUGAAAGCCCACGGCUUAACCGUGGAGGGUCAUUGGAAACUGGUCAACUUGAGUGCAGAAGAGGGAAGUGGAAUUCCAUGUGUAGCGGUGAAAUGCGUAGAGAUAUGGAGGAACACCAGUGGCGAAGGCGGCUUCCUGGUCUGUAACUGACACUGAGGCGCGAAAGCGUGGGGAGCAACAGGAUUAGAUACCCUGGU